rnacentral:sRNA from 1 species
GUAGGCAUGUAGGGAAAAUUCAAAUAAUUUGUUCAGUUUACAAUUAUUUUUGCUGGCGCAACCCGAAAAAUAGUAAAGCAUGCAAAACAUUCGCAGUGACACAAAAGCAUGAACUUGCAAAAAUAAACAGGGGAACAGUAGAAAAAAACCAUGCAGCCGGCAGCGACAGUCAAAAAGUUGUUACAAAAAACAAUUUUCGGAUUCAGUAGUUUGUAGCUGCAAUCUUUAAAUGGAUGUACAUGGCAAGUGGGAAGUAUCAGAAAUUAAACGCGAAUUGAUUGCAACAAGAAGAUAGCGAGUUUUUUUUUAUUUACUUGUCAUACUUAUGAUGAAAAUAAUAAAAUUCUUCAGUGAAA